rnacentral:rRNA from 1 species
UACAGAGGUCUCAAGCGUUGUUCGGAUUCAUUGGGCGUAAAGGGUGCGUAGGCGGUGAGGUAAGUCGGAUGUGAAAUCCCGGGGCUUAACCCCGGAACUGCAUUCGAUACUGCCUUGCUUGAGCACUGGAGAGGAGACUGGAAUUUACGGUGUAGCAGUGAAAUGCGUAGAUAUCGUAAGGAAGACCAGUGGCGAAGGCGGCACUCUGGGCCGGAACUGACGCUGAGGAGCGAAAGCGUGGGGAGCAAACAGG